rnacentral:rRNA from 1 species
GAUGAACGCUAGCGGCAGGCCUAACACAUGCAAGUCGAGGGGCAGCACGAUUGAAGCUUGCUUCAAUUGGUGGCGACCGGCGCACGGGUGCGUAACGCGUAUGUAACCUACCUUAUACAGGGGCAUAACACUGAGAAAUUGGUACUAAUUCCCCAUAACACUUUAGAGGGCAUCCUUUAGAGUUAAAAGUUCCGGCGGUAUAAGAUGGACAUGCGUUGUAUUAGCUAGUUGGUGAGGUAACGGCUCACCAAGGCGACGAUACAUAGGGGGACUGAGAGGUUAACCCCCCACAUUGGUACUGAGACACGGACCAAACUCCUACGGGAGGCAGCAGUGAGGAAUAUUGGUCAAUGGACGCAAGUCUGAACCAGCCAUGCCGCGUGCAGGAUGACGGCUCUACGAGUUGUAAACUGCUUUUGUACGAGGGUAAACCUAGAUACGUGUAUCUAGCUGAAAGUACCGUAUGAAUAAGGAUCGGCUAACUCCGUGCCAGCAGCCGCAGUAAUAC